rnacentral:rRNA from 1 species
GCACGGGUGCGUAACGCGUAUGCAACCUACCCUUAACAGAGACAUAACCUGGCGAAAGCUGGGCUAAUAUCUCAUGAGGUUAUAGAGGGGCAUCCCUAAAUAAUCAAAGCAGCGAUGUGGUUAAGGAUGGGCAUGCGUCCCAUUAGCUAGUUGGUGAGGUAACGGCUCACCAAGGCGACGAUGGGUAGGGGUUCUGAGAGGAAGGUCCCCCACACUGGUACUGAGACACGGACCAGACUCCUACGGGAGGCAGCAGUAAGGAAUAUUGGGCAAUGGUCGGAAGACUGACCCAGCCAUGCCGCGUGCAGGAAGAAGGCCCUAUGGGUUGUAAACUGCUUUAGCCAGGGGCUAAACCUACCGAUGCGUUGGUAGCUGAAGGUACCUGGAGAAUAAGCAUCGGCUAACUCCGUGCCAGCAGCCGCGGUAAUACGGAGGAUGCGAGCGUUAUCCGGAUUUACUGGGUUUAAAGGGUGCGCAGGCGGUUGUUUAAGUCAGGGGUGAAAGCCCUAUGCUCAACAUAGGGAUUGCCUUUGAUACUGAACGGCUAGAGUGAAGAUGGAGUGGGUGGAAUGUGUUGUGUAGCGGUGAAAUGCAUAGAUAUAACACAGAACACCGAUCGCGAAGGCAGCUCACUAAUUUUCAACUGACGCUCAUGCACGAUAGCGUGGGGAUCAAACAGGAUUAGAUACCCUGGUAGUCCACGCUGUAAACGAUGAUCACUAGCUGUUGGUACGCAGAAGUAUCAGUGGCUAGCGAAAGUGAUAAGUGAUCCACCUGGGGAGUACGACCGCAAGGUUGAAACUCAAAGGAAUUGACGGGGGCCCGCACAAGCGGAGGAGCAUGUGGUUUAAUUCGAUGAUACGCGAGGAACCUUACCAGGGCUCGCAC